rnacentral:rRNA from 1 species
UACGUAGGGGGCAAGCGUUGUCCGGAAUCAUUGGGCGUAAAGCGCGCGUAGGCGCCCGAUCAGUCCGCUGUAAAAGUCCAGGGCUCAACCCUGGAAAGCCGGUGGAUACUGUCGGGCUAGAGUCCGGAAGAGGCGAGUGGAAUUCCUGGUGUAGCGGUGGAAUGCGCAGAUAUCAGGAGGAACACCGAUAGCGAAGGCAGCUCGCUGGGACGGUACUGACGCUGAGGUGCGAAAGCGUGGGGAGCGAACAGG